AAAUUGAAGAGUUUGAUCAUGGCUCAGAUUGAACGCUGGCGGCAGGCCUAACACAUGCAAGUCGAACGGUAACAGGAAGCAGCUUGCUGCUUCGCUGACGAGUGGCGGACGGGUGAGUAAUGUCUGGGAAACUGCCUGAUGGAGGGGGAUAACUACUGGAAACGGUAGCUAAUACCGCAUAAUGUCGCAAGACCAAAGAGGGGGACCUUCGGGCCUCUUGCCAUCGGAUGUGCCCAGAUGGGAUUAGCUUGUUGGUGGGGUAACGGCUCACCAAGGCGACGAUCCCUAGCUGGUCUGAGAGGAUGACCAGCCACACUGGAACUGAGACACGGUCCAGACUCCUACGGGAGGCAGCAGUGGGGAAUAUUGCACAAUGGGCGCAAGCCUGAUGCAGCCAUGCCGCGUGUAUGAAGAAGGCCUUCGGGUUGUAAAGUACUUUCAGCGGGGAGGAAGGGAGUAAAGUUAAUACCUUUGCUCAUUGACGUUACCCGCAGAAGAAGCA
rnacentral:rRNA from 1 species